UUCCCCUAGUAANUGCGAGUGAAGCGGGAAAAGCUCAAAUNNAAANUNNGGCGGUNNUUGGCUGUCCGAGUUGUAAUCUAGAGAAGUGCUAUCCGCGCUGGACCGUGUACAAGUCUCCUGGAAUGGAGCGUCAUAGAGGGUGAGAAUCCCGUCUUUGACACGGACUGCCAGGGCUUUGUGAUGUGCUCUCAAAGAGUCGAGUUGUUUGGGAAUGCAGCUCAAAAUGGGUGGUAAAUUCCAUCUAAAGCUAAAUAUUGGCGAGAGACCGAUAGCGAACAAGUACCGUGAGGGAAAGAUGAAAAGAACUUUGGAAAGAGAGUUAAACAGUACGUGAAAUUGCUGAAAGGGAAACGCUUGAAGUCAGUCGCGUUGACCGGGAAUCAACCUUGCUUUUGCUGGGCGUACUUUCCGGUUGACGGGUCAGCAUCAAUUUUGAUCGUUGGAUAAAGUUCGUGGAAAUGUGGCUUCUUCGGAAGUGUUAUAGUCCAUGUUCGCAUACAACGGUUGGGAUUGAGGAANNCAGCNCGCCGCAAGGCCAGG
rnacentral:rRNA from 1 species